GACGAACGCUGGCGGCGUGCCUAAUACAUGCAAGUCGAACGAGAGCGCCCGGUGCUUGCACUGGUCAAUCUAGUGGCGAACGGGUGAGUAACACGUGGGUAACCUGCCCAUCAGAGGGGGAUAACAUCCGGAAACGGAUGCUAAAACCGCAUAGGUCUUCGAGCCGCAUGGCUUGAAGAGGAAAAGAGGCGCAAGCUUCUGCUGAUGGAUGGGCCCGCGGUGCAUUAGCUAGUUGGUGAGGUAACGGCUCACCAAGGCCGUGAUGCAUAGCCGACCUGAGAGGGUGAUCGGCCACAUUGGGACUGAGACACGGCCCAAACUCCUACGGGAGGCAGCAGUAGGGAAUCUUCCGCAAUGGACGCAAGUCUGACGGAGCAACGCCGCGUGAGUGAAGAAGGUUUUCGGAUCGUAAAACUCUGUUGUUAGAGAAGAACAAGUGCUAGAGUAACUGUUAGCGCCUUGACGGUAUCUAACCAGAAAGCCACGGCUAACUACGUG
rnacentral:rRNA from 1 species